rnacentral:rRNA from 1 species
UAGAGUUUGAUCCUGGCUCAGAACGAACGCUGGCGGCGUGCUUAACACAUGCAAGUCGAACGCGAAAGUUACCUUCGGGUAAUGAGUAGAGUGGCGCACGGGUGAGUAACGCGUAAGUAAUCUACCCUUGUAUUUGGGAUAACCCACCGAAAGGUGUGCUAAUACCGGAUACGUUUAUUUUUACGUAGGUAAGAAUAAAGAAAGAUGGCCUCUUCAUGAAAGCUAUUGUACAAGGAGGAGCUUGCGUACCAUUAGCUAGUUGGCGGGGUAAAAGCCCACCAAGCCUACGACGGAUAGCUGGUCUGAGAGGAUGAUCAGCCACAUUGGAACUGAGACACGGUCCAGACUCCUACGGGAGGCAGCAGUGAGGAAUAUUGCGCAAUGGGCGAAAGCCUGACGCAGCAACGCCGCGUGGAUGAAGAAGUUCUUCGGAAUGUAAAGUCCUUUUGUAGAGGAAGAAUAGCCUGUUUUACGGGUGUGACGGUACUCUGCGAAUAAGCACCGGCUAACUCCGUGCCAGCAGCCGCGGUAAUACGGAGGGUGCAAGCGUUAUCCGGAUUUAUUGGGUUUAAAGGGUGCGCAGGCGGACCAAUUAGUCAGUGGUGAAAUCCCGAGGCUCAACCUCGGAACUGCCAUUGAUACUGUUGGUCUUGAAUACGGUUGAAGUAGGCGGAAUGUAGCAUGUAGCGGUGAAAUGCAUAGAGAUGCUACAGAACACCGAUCGCGAAGGCAGCUUACUAAACCGAUAUUGACGCUCAGGCACGAAAGCGUGGGGAGCGAACAGGAUUAGAUACCCUGGUAGUCCACGCCGUAAACUAUGAUCACUCGUUGUUGGCAAUACACAGUCAGUGACCAAGCGAAAGCGAUAAGUGAUCCACCUGGGGAGUACGAUCGCAAGGUUGAAACUCAAAGGAAUUGACGGGGGCCCGCACAAGCGGUGGAGCAUGUGGUUUAAUUCGAUGAUACGCGAGGAACCUUACCUGGGCUCAAAUGUAAGUUGACAGUUUCUGAAAGGGAAUUUUCUUCGGACAAUUUACAAGGUGCUGCAUGGUUGUCGUCAGCUCGUGCCGUGAGGUGUCGGGUUAAGUCCCAUAACGAGCGCAACCCCUACUCUUAGUUGCCAUCAGAUAAUGCUGGGGACUCUAGGAGAACUGCCUACGCAAGUAGAGAGGAAGGUGGGGAUGACGUCAAAUCAGCACGGCCCUUACGUCCAGGGCUACACACGUGCUACAAUGGCCGGUACAGAGGGCAGCCACCUGGUGACAGGGAGCGAAUCUCUAAAGCCGGUCUCAGUUCGGAUCGAAGUCUGCAACCCGACUUCGUGAAGCUGGAAUCGCUAGUAAUCGCGCAUCAGCCAUGGCGCGGUGAAUACGUUCCCGGGCCUUGUACACACCGCCCGUCAAGCCAUGGAAGCUGGGGGUACCUGAAGUCGGUGACCAUUUAGGAGCCGCCUAGGGUAAAACUAGUGACUGGGGCUAAGUCGUAACAAGGUAACCA